rnacentral:lncRNA from 1 species
GAGGAGAUCACGAAAAUGGGAAGGAUCGGCCGAGGGGAUGCCGGAAAAUGGGUUUUCCGGUCGGGUCACCGACGGAACUGUGGCUCCUUCGAUCCAGCUUUCGGAGCAGCGGCGGAGCAAGACGACACCGGAGGGAGGCUCUACGGAGUACGGCGAGUCCGGUGAGGUCCGGGUCGUGGCCGGAGAAGCAGCGACGGCGACGCUGGGGCCGGGUCGGGUCGACGGGUCUGCAGGCAUGGGGAGGGUUUCGAGCGAGAGAGAGAGAGAACCGGAGGGGGACUAUUCAGCAAAAUUUGAUCUUCUUCGUCCUUAA